rnacentral:rRNA from 1 species
CCUUACCUGGUCUUGACAUCCACAGAACUUUCCAGAGAUGGAUUGGUGCCUUCGGGAACUGUGAGACAGGUGCUGCAUGGCUGUCGUCAGCUCGUGUUGUGAAAUGUUGGGUUAAGUCCCGCAACGAGCGCAACCCUUAUCCUUUGUUGCCAGCGGUCCGGCCGGGAACUCAAAGGAGACUGCCAGUGAUAAACUGGAGGAAGGUGGGGAUGACGUCAAGUCAUCAUGGCCCUUACGACCAGGGCUACACACGUCCUACAAUGGCGCAUACAAAGAGAAGCGACCUCGCGAGAGCAAGCGGACCUCAUAAAGUGCGUCGUAGUCCGGAUUGGAGUCUGCAACUCGACUCCAUGAAGUCGGAAUCGCUAGUAAUCGUGGAUCAGAAUGCCACGGUGAAUACGUUCCCGGGCCUUGUACACACCGCCCGUCACACCAUGGGAGUGGGUUGCAAAAGAAGUAGGUAGCUUAACCUUCGGGAGGGCGCUUACCACUUUGUGAUUCAUGACUGGGGUGAAGUCGUAACAAGGUAACCGUAGGGGAACCU